CAUUAGAGCUGGGUGGACUCAGAGGAGCCCUAGAGAUUCCGAAAUUCAAAAUCCAAGUCUUAACCAGGAUUCGAACCUACCAAAUCAAUGCAAAACGUCCCUUUUUCUUGUACUGACCACGUGUAGACUGGUCAACCGUCAAAAUGAUAACAUGGUUUGUUUUGAUGAAAAUAUUCGUGUGUAGUUUAUUGACACAGAAAUUGUUAAGUAUAUUGACACAGGAAGUGUGUAGUUUAUUGACACAGGAAUUGUGUAAUUUAUUGACACAGGAAGUGUGAAGUUUAUUGACACAGGGAGUUCGUAGGUUAGUGACACAGAAAAUAUGUAGUAGGAAGUGUGUAGUUUAUCAACAUAAGAUGUGUGUAGUUCAUUACCAAAGGAUGUGUCUAGUUUGAUGACACAGGAGAUGUGUAGUUUAUUGACACAUGAAGUGUGUAUCUUAUCGAAAUUGACAAAGGAAAUGUGUAAUUUAUUGAAACAGGAAAUGUAUAGUUUAUUGAUACAGAAAGUGUGUAGUUUAUUGACACAGGAAGUGUGUAGUAUAUUGACACAGGAAACAUGUAAGAGGAGAUAGAGAAAAAGAAAGAAGUUUCUGUGGGGUGAUUUUUUUGAGUGGAUGUUGUUUUGUGAAUUUUGGUGCUCAUUUGGACUGGUCACUGGAAUGUCUUUUCAUCUUAUUGGACUCAAAUAACGCAUUGGGCGUUCUGUUAAGAAGCCCCAACCGGAUAAUUAGAAGCAAUUCAAAUGAAAUAGGUGGCAGUGGUGGCCCGGGGCCCAAUUUGGAGCAAUCUGCCAAAUGCCGGCACUGUCUACACGUCAAGUAUCUUACCUCAAACCAGGAGGUGCCGUUGGUGCAGUUGAAUGGAAUCUUAUAGCGCUCAAAGGAGUUGAGACACUUGAGGGAGUUCCAAUCGUUACCACAGUGACCCCAGGGCAAGACUGACGUGAAGGAGUGACACAAGUAGAACACUGUCCAGGCCAAGAUAACGAUGUACUUUGGGUUCCAACUAAAUCUAUGAGCUUGCAAACUCUUCAUGGGUACAUUGGAAACAGUUGUAACGAGACUAGAAUGUUGUAGAGAAAUGAUAUAAGCAGUUUACCAGAUCAACUUCCAAUUUCCAUUAAUCAAUGUAAGGAGUAGAUCCAUACGUUUUAAUAGAAUUGUUUUCGGUCCAUUUCAUUUCGUUUUUUUGUUUUUACAUUUUUAGUCAUUUGGCCCGCGACACGAGCAUCGGAAAUUAUAAUGGCCUGCAGGUCGAAUAAGGUUGGAUAUAACUGUACUAGACUUAAGCAAUAUUUAAAAUUCAUCGAACG